CGUCCCAACUGCGGAUCUCUGAUAGGACAGCAGCUGGGAGGGUGGGUUGUGGGCCUGGAGCAGGGCUGUCUGGUACCUGCUUGGUGCCAAGUCCACUUACUCGCCUGAGAUGGGGCAUCUGUCAGCCAAGCUUUACCCUCCGUCGUCUCCUGUGUGGGGGGCCAUCUGCAAAUUCUCCAGGAUCUGGGAGAAAAAUCCAACAUCUGUGUGUAUAUCCAUGUACUGCUGCCCUGCUACCGGCUCCUGGUACACACCUCAGCAGAAGGGAGUAAGAGUAAUCGGAGGGUCAUCGUAGGACUCUGCCCGCUGAAGCCGGUUUGAGCAUUUGCCGAUUGGCGGGGGUGGAUGGCAAAUGGAGAGGACAGGGCACAGACACAGAGGGAAGAAAGGCCAUGAAGACAGAGGCAGAGACUGGAGCCAGAGGAUGCUGGUAGCCACGAGGAGCUCCCAGGCAAGGAAGGAUGCUCCCCUAGCGCCUUUGAAGGGAGCACGACCCCGCUGCCACCUUGGUUUUGGACUUCUGGCUUCCAGAACGGAUACAAGAUUCCCUGUGCCCGGAGCUCUCUUUCUGGCCCUUGUCAUCUUGGAGCCACCGGACUCAUCCUGAAGACUCAGCUCAAUUGUCAUGUCCUCAGUGAAGCCUCCUGCAAGCACCCGCCCCAGCUGAUGAGUCACUUCUGUGUCCCUGCAGCUGCUGCUAAGAUCUGUCACAUCAAUCCUCCCAGGCCUGGUUCCCCGCUCAACCCCAGGCUUCUCAGGGUCUGAGAUUUAAAACUUCACCCCAAUCACAGAUGUUCGGUGUUUCUAGCAAACCUGAGCUCAGCAAAUGCUUGUUGAAUGAACAGAUGAGUUUCCUCUGCAGCCGGGCCCUGUGCCAGAUUAUUUAUGUGAAAACUGUGAGGAACCUUCUGUUGGAUAUUCCAGGCUUCUUCUAGGGACAAAGAGUAGCCAGGUGAAAAUGGAGAAGUCAGACUGUCCCUUCUCAGACCCUACUGUGGCUCUCUUUACUCUAAACAAAAGCUGGUCUCGGACUUACCUGGUGGCGCAGUGGUUAAGAAUCCGCCUGCCAAUGCAGGGGACACGGGUUCAAGCCCUGGUCCGGGAAGAUCCCACAUGCCACGCGGAGCAACUAAGCCCAUGUGCCACAAUUACUGAGCCUGCGCUCUAGAGCCCGCGAGCCACAACUACUAAGCCCAGGUGACACAACUACUAAAGCCCGCAUGCCUAGAGCCCAUGCUCUGCAACAAGAGAAGCCACUGCAAUGAGAAGCCUGCAUACUGCAACAAAGAGUAGCCGCCACUCGCCACAGUUAGAGAAAGCCCAUGCACAGCAACAAAGACCCAACGCAGCCAAAAAUAACUAAAUCAAUCAAAAAACAAAAAAACAAAAGAACCCCAAAACGACCUGGGCUCUAUCCCAGCAGCUUAGAGAGCUUCAGUCUCUGGUCAAGGUCACGGAGCUUAUGUUGAGGACAGAAUCAGGACCCAAACCCAGCCAGCCUGGCCCCAAAGCUGAUGCCCUUUCAUUGAGCUCCUGCCUUGUCCUGCAACUGUCCCAGGUGACGACAAGGUUUUGUAGAGUCUCUUGGUGGAGGGUGUCCAUCAGGUUACAAUGAAAGAUCGUGGAUCAGACCAGGGCAACCCUGGGUUGGGAGACUGGAGAGGGUAAUGAAAGCCGGUUGGAAGCAAGAUAUUGCCUUCUAGACCCAGUACUCCAGUCAACCUUGGGUAUGACUGUAUGCAAGCCAUUUACCUUCUCUGACUCCUGGUUUUCUUAUUUGUAGGACUGAUUCAUCCAACAAAUAUUUGUUGGACACAUAUGACAUGCUAGAUGCCAGACAGGGUCAUAGGUACCAAGGAUACAGCCACAAAUAAAACAAAGUUCCUGACCCCAUGGAGUUGACUCUGAACUAGAUGGUCUCUAAACCCUCUGAACUCCAUGAUGCUAUGGGGGAGUAGGAGGGGGCAUUUUGUAGGGAUACAGAAUCAGUUCAAGGCCAGUUCUUAUUCGAGAGUAGUUGAUCACUGGGCAGGGGAAGACAGGCUGCCCACUGUAAAACAAUCAGAGACACAAAUUGCCUCUAAUGACAUCAAGGACCUGCAUAAUUUGGCCCCUCUUGUCCUCUCUGGCAACCUCGCAGGCCAGUUUUCCUUCAACUCACCAGCCGAAUCCUUUCCAGCCUAUCUUAGGCUGGAUCCCCUAGAAGCAGGCUCCGAGGUUAGUAAUUUGAGUGCAAGCAGUUGAUUUGGGAGGUGAUCCCAGAAAGCAAUGGUCAUAGAGUGGGGCAGUAAGGCAGGGAAGGAAAGGAAAGGAAGCCAAGUGUGUCCCAUUACAGCAGGUUAUUGCUGAGAGCAAUUGGAACUCAGUCCUGACGGAGUAUUCUAGGGGUGAGAAUUCUAGGGGUAAAUGCUAGGGCAUUUACCCAUCAACUCCUAUUGAGCAUUGGCUGAGGGUUGCUCCUAGGGGCAUUAACUUCCUGGCAUUUCCGGUCUGUUCAAGGCACCAUCCAACAGAGAGCCCUCAGGCAGAGACUCUUGGGGGCUUGCAGUAGGGCACUGUGUGUACUGAAAAGGUAAGUGCUGAUAUGGAAUAUGGGGAGCGCACUGCUAUAAGGCCUCAGAGCCUUUGCACUUACUGUUCCUUUAAUUGGAGCAAACUUCUUCCCAGCUCUUUGAAGAACUGGCACCUUAUCCUUCAGCUCUCAGCCCAGAGUCUUUUCCUCUGACAGAUCCUCUGUGAAUUAGCACCUCCCCAUCCUGGGACUCUCCAUCAUAUCUUCUCAUUUAUUUAUUUCAUAGCGCAUGUCACAAUCAGAAAUCAGCUUCUGUGUUUGUUUGCAGGCACUUCUGUAUCUCCAGUGCCUAGAGAAGAAUCUGGCUCAUAGUUGCACUUCCAGAACUAUUUUCUGCACACACAUGUGCCAUGUCAUCCACACCCAGCUACAUACCAACAUGCCUUCCACUCCCACUCCCAGACUUGCGACCAGAGAACGGAGUAAAGAUUGAGUUUGGGUUACGGGGACACAAAGACACUGCUCAGGUUUUCAUGUACAUUGGCUAGACGUCUGCUCAUCAGAAAAGUCUGAAGCCUGUAUUGUGCUUUGGGAGAACGAUGGUAGUAACACUCCAGCAGGGUGAGGGAGGCAAUGACCGAUACUGAUGAAAAUAGUGGAGUCUGCAAGUUGCCCGAAUGAUUGGAUAUUUUUACUUCUGAUGUAAAGUACGGAUCCCUUCUAACAGCCUACUUGUAGGUAUUAAAUGGACAAGA